ACACGUUUAGCUCAGUCGAUAGAGCGCAAGGCUCUUAACCUUGUGGUCCUGGAUUCAAGUCCCAGGGUGGGCA
rnacentral:tRNA from 1 species